AUGUCGGUGAAGAGGACAAGGCCGGCGGCUGCGCACGAAGAAGCUAGGGGAAUGAUCCAGUGCCAUGACGGGAGGAGAGGAGUUCCUCCUCCAGCGGAGCAACGCGACGACAUCCCCUGGAGCUGCCCGGGCGCGGAGAUCUCUUCCAAGCGCCACGACGAGCUCCUCCGAGACAGCAGGCCGACGUCCUCCUCGUCGGCACUGGCACCGCUGGUUAGCCCGAUGCAGCGAGUCAACCUCUUCGUCCUGACUAGUUUAUGCCGUCUCAGUCGUCAACGCCAUCCUCGAGGCCCACGCCAUCUAUCGGACCAGACCGUGCUUCUGACUGACACAUAUGGCCAGUUCGUCUGUCAAGAAGCAGGAAAGCAGAGAAAGUUGUUGAACGCGAAAAAGAACGAGAUAUCUGCCAAUGCCUACUUCACUGAGAUGAGAGGCCUCAACGAUGAACCUGCUGCAGCAGGAGAGAAUAUCGAUGAUGACGGCCUAAUCUCGGUGCUCCUUGCUGGACUAGAGACACACUACAAUCUGUUGGUCGCAUCCAUGUCCGCCAAAAUGGAGCCAAUCAACCUCAUGACUUGUACUCGCAGCUUCUCGCCUUCGUGGCGCGGCUAG
rnacentral:rRNA from 1 species